rnacentral:rRNA from 1 species
UGGGGAAUAUUGCACAAUGGGCGAAAGCCUGAUGCAGCAACGCCGCGUGAGUGAUGAAGGCAUUCGGGUUGUAAAGCUCUGUCUUUUGGGACGAUAAUGACGGUACCAAAGGAGGAAGCCACGGCUAACUACGCGCCAGCAGCCGCGGUAAUACGUAGGUGGCAAGCGUUGUCCGGAUUUACUGGGCGUAAAGGAUGCGUAGGCGGAUUUUUAAGUGAGAUGUGAAAUACCCGGGCUUAACUUGGGUGCUGCAUUUCAAACUGGGAAUCUAGAGUGCGGGAGAGGAGAAUGGAAUUCCUAGUGUAGCGGUGAAAUGCGUAGAGAUUAGGAAGAACACCAGUGGCGAAGGCGAUUCUCUGGACCGUAACUGACGCUGAGGCAUGAAAGCGUGGGUAGCAAACAGGAUUAGAUACCCUGGUAGUCCACGCCGUAAACGAUGAGUACUAGGUGUAGGAGGUAUCGACCCCUUCUGUGCCGCAGUUAACACAAUCAAGUACUCCGCCUGGGAAGUACGAUUGCAAGAUUAAACUUAAAGGAAUUGACGGGGUCAUAGCUGUUUCCU